CUUGCAUCAAAUAUACUUACACCAACUACAUUUUACAGAGAAAUACACUGUGUAGUUACAAUAUUGCCCUAGUUGAACUAUCCUGCACACUAAAUGCAUUUUUAACAAUACCUGACCUCAUUUUGACAUACAGGGUGGAUAUCCAACUCAUUACACAUUAGAACUGUGUUUGAGAAAAAUACAAUGGUGUAGGCUUUUUUUCUUCGUUCUCACAAAAAAAAAAUUGACUAAUGCUCAUACAAUAAUACUAUUUUGUUAGAAGAAUCUGAAGGAAAACUAUUCAUUUACAUCAACAAUCACUAUUGUCUGUUAAAAAAUAAAAGACUAAAUCCUUUGGCAAGCCUUUCUCUACUGUAAAUAACAAAUUGAGUAUACACACAAGUAUAACAACAAACAAGUACAGAAACAAUACAACUUAUUCCUCAUGAUAUUUUAACUAGUAGUAAGGUUACAGGUCUAGCAAAAUCAAAACACAGCUUCUGCAAAAGGAGUCAACAAAUAGGGUCACAAGGGCUUAUUCUAAGAAACAGAAUGACAUAGGCUUCAUCCUUCUAGUCUGAAGCAUUAUAACUUCUUUGCUCAAGUUUUUGGCAUAAAAGCCUGCUACAAAUGAGGCACACAGGUCUUAAUUUAAACUGUGAUGCAGAAGCCACAAAACAUUACUCUUUCCAAUUACUAACUAAUCUAAUGCUAAAAGCAUGCAAAUUGAGAUCCCCAGCCAUAUGAUGAAGCCUCAUAGGACAUGAGGUUCCAUAAGCACGAGGGUAAAAACAUGCCCUUUUGCUAUAAAUAAUGAUUAUCUUGAUAGUUGUUAUGCUGCUAGUGAAGGUCACAACUUAUUUGCUUGUAGCUUGGGGAACACAAAGAAUAUUCACAAGAGCUUACAGGCUUAGGUACAGUAAUCCUAAUAAUAAAGUUAGGAGUAACUGCCAUAGAAUAAUUACAACUGCUGUUAUGCAUAAUGGAAUAGAACAUUCAAUAAUGUUUGCUGCAGAAACACGAGUGCUUCAUCAGAGAUCACUGGUCAGGCCAUUUCCUAUAAUCCUUGGUAUUGAACUGUUUGCAAUAGAACUUGCAUAUAAAGCUGCACAUACACUGUUAUCUUCUAUCCCACUUGAAAACAGUCCACUUGAUUUAAUGAAUUUACAAAUUUAUAUAUCCAUGAGGGGUUCCUUUUCCACAUCUUCAUUUAUGAAGACUUCAUAAUACCAGACAAGCAGUGGAACUCAAAAAAAUAAUAUAAAUCAAUAUCAAGAUGUCUAUAUGACAACAAACAUUUAAAAGUAUACAGCCUGCAUUACAAGAAGUCACACACAAAAAAGAAAUCUACAAGCCAUUAAAAAAUCUUAUUGUGUAUCACUUACAUUUAAUGUUGUAAACAGAUUACAACUCACUAGAAACCCACUAUUAGAAGAACGCUAGAUGAACACAUCCAUCUAAAAUCCUAAGCAACAAAACUACCUGAUGAUUAAAAAACCCAGUAAACACGGAAAUAGAAGGCAAUGAAACUAUUAAAACUGCUAAAAUUAUAAAAUGCAAUAGUUCACUGUUAUUCACUAUAGGCUACAGUUAAUACACAUAUAUUGAAAUCAGCACAAGUGAAAUUACAACAGGCGGCUGAAAGCACUGACAAAUACAAAAUAAGCUUGAGACAAUAGAAUACAUGAAGUCUGUCUUAAUUGAUUGGGUCAGAAAAAAAUUUAUUUCCAGUAGAAGCUUUAUUCAUAUGCUUGCCAGGGUGUCAAAGUGUUCCCAUCAUCAGUAACUACAAAGCAGCCGUAAGGCUGGUCCAGAACAAAAGGAAAAAGUGUAAUGGGAGAGAGAAUGCACAGCAGAAAACAAGAGUAGGAGAGCAAGCAUGACACAGAGAAAUGUAUUUCUUGCUUCUUGACAAAACUUUUAAUUUCAGGCUCAGCAGGAGUCAGAAUUAUGAGUAGGCAAAGCCAGCUAGACAUUUUAGAGGUCUAUUACAAACAAAUCCUUAGGAAUCUUACCAUGAUAUCAAAUUGAGACAAUAAGGUAUCACUAGAAGCAUGUGAUCGAAGGAUACAUGCUGACUACAAACUGACUGAACUUCAGUCUUCCUCAUAUCUAUUGCUUUCAGAUAUAUUUGACAUAGAUCACUCUCCAAAGAACACAGAUAACAGAUAGAAUGGCAACACGACCACUACUCCUUCAAGCUACUCUUAAAGAGAGGGAUAUAUUCCUUAUAAUUGUGUCCCUGUCAGACUGGCUUAGAUGUCUAAUAAAUCUUGUCAAGGAAAUUAGAACCUAAUUAAAAGCACUAGGAUAUUUUUUCAAUCUGAAAAAUGGCCAUAUGCAUAGAAGUUUAAAACAAACCUCUAUUUCAGUUCUGUUUCAGAAUGAAACCAGAGUUUUACAGACACUGAGGUGUCAGUAAAAUUAUAAAUGUCAGCUUUCAAGCUAUCCAUUUUUCAAUCAACAGAGGGAAUAUUUAGUUAACAGAUACAGCAAGGGAAAAGCUUCAAUUUUAAUAAUCCAGUGAAUAUUCCCUUUGUCAGGUUGAAUAAAUCUAAGCAAAUAACCGUAGUGUUUUUCAAAUCAUCCAUGGAUAAACCACAGUCAACUACGUGCUCUUCAAGUGAGUAGAGAAGCAACACUCCAAAACAAUACAAGAGCACUCUUGGGACUGUCUUCAAAGAAAACAUAAAACUGAAGUAUUAACCAGAGGGGCACAACAGACUUGUGGAGAGGGAAAUAAAAGAAAUUUAUUUCCACUACUGAAGCAAAACUAUUAAGCAAUAAUGGAUGUCAAACAGAACACAUCAGAGGCAGAAAAGAUCAAACAAUGAAUGUCAACAUGGUAUGCAAAAAAAACCAACACCUCAAAAUUUCAAAGCUCAGGUCACACUCACUAGUAGCAAAAACCCCAAAAAGCAGAAACAAAGGCAGAAAGCCAAAACCAGAAAAUCCAACAUGAAUCUGCAUCUUGGAUGCUCCAUGUGACCCUAGACCUGCAGCCAAGGUAAAAAAAUGGAAA